CUCCAAAGAAACCAAACAAAAUGAGGUUUCAAGAAAGAGAGAAUGGUGGACCUUGUGAACUAUUGUUAAGGGGGUGAGGAAACUGAAGCCUCGCUCCUAAGGGAAAAUAUGCAAUGCCUGGCUUGACAGCAGUCGAGAUUCCUGUACUGUGAAGCAAUAACUCCAAGUGGAUAAACAAGUAGAGAGGAGAGCCUGGGAUUCUGAUGUGUCUGCAGAGCCAUCCUCUUUGUCUAAUUAUGAUGAGCCCAGACUGACUCGCUGCUACUGGCCGUUUAUUAGCGGAGUGUCAGGUUCUGGCACUGAAGCUCUGCACCUGAGACUGGAGGUGAGAAGACAGUAGAAGCCUCGCUGAAUCCACAGGAGGCUCUAGCAUCUUCACCAACUACACAGAGUCUGUGUCAGCAUGAAGGUGGUGGUGCUGACGCCACAGUUCCUGCAGCGGCAUCGGAAGGUGAACUUGGUUUCUAUUCAGCAGCAGGGGCAGCAGGACAAACGUGGAUUCACUGAGGUCUGGAAACAAGUUCCCUUCUUUAAGUAGGGAGCUAAAGUGAGGUCGGAUGCCUGGGAAUCACAGACUGUCCCCUUUUGCUGUUCUAAUUUUCCAAUCUCUAAGCAUAUUUGAACAGCAUCAAACUUCUCUACAUUACACAACAUCAUUAACUUCGAAAUUAGUAUUUUUUCAACAAUUACUUUAGAUCAGCGUGUAUUGCUACUUUAGAGAUCAUAUCAAAUUAAUUUGUUUAAAUAUGUAAAAAGAUCAUGAAAUAAGAUGCUAUCCAGACAAUAGAACUGUGUAUCAUAAUCCUCUGAAAGACACAGGGUGAUCAUAUUUUUAUAGUUUAUUUUUUGUUUGGUGACUUGCAAGCAUACCUACAAAUGUGGAUAGUCAUCAAAAGUACAAGAAAAACAAUCUAAGAAGUAAACAACUUAUAUUUUCAAUAAAAAGAUCAAAAUAUGUAUAAAUAGUAGGGGAUAAAUGAGACAAAGUGAACUGUGGUAAAAUAUAAUAUCCCGUGUUCACUUAAGCUCAGUUUUUCUUAAAUUUACAUAAGAACGGAAAAAUUAGGACAGUUCUUAUUAAAUGGAAAAUUCUGAGAAAAAGCUAAAUUUCAUAAGCAAAUCAUUCUGAUUUUAUGGCUUUAGCUACAGGUAAAAUACAAGAGAUCAACACUUGCCUAAGCCAAAAAUUAGAAACCAUAUGUCCAUAUGAUAUAUUUGAAUAUAUAAUAAUGUUGCCAGCCGUAUCUCACCUGGGAAGAGUGGCAUUUUGGAGAAUAUUCUUCCUUUUACUUCCCAUUUAUAAAAACUACUUUUCUACCAGGCAUCACAGUUUUUCUAGUUUUAAGUGGCAUCUUUAUAAGUCAUAAAAAUUGGAGCUUAAUUUCUCUUAAUAUUAAAAUAACCCAGAAGAGAAUGUUCAUUGAAACAAAUUAUUAUUGUUUAUUGUAGUAAGAGCAAGAUACUGUAUAGAAGAUACAGUCUUUUCUAAGAUGUCUAGCAUAAUAAUAAUUUUAAUGCGUUAUUAUAAUAGAGCAAUUUAUUCUAAAUUUUAGAAAGCAGAAAUUGCCUGUCUUUUGUCUAAAUAAAACUUACCAUAAAAAUUAGAAUCAUAACAUUCGAAGAAAAUAUAAGGGAUUAUUAUUCUUACUAUUUUUGUUGUUUUGUUAAUUAAGACCAAAUUUUUGCAUUUCUUCCUGCCAUUUCUGCCAAUUCUAACCUUUGCUAGAGACGUGGGGUAAGUAUGAUAGUGGAUAUUUCAUCUUCAAUAUAUAUGCAACAGUGUCCCUACCGCCUGUCUAACUGGGAAAUACCACCUAAAGAUUUUAGAUAAGGUUGAGAUAAGAGCUCAAUUUCUGUAGAUGUCCAUCUGCAUGAAAAAUAAAAGCAA